rnacentral:rRNA from 1 species
CAAUCCCGGUUGAUCCUGCCGGACCCCACCGCUAUCGGGGUGGGACUAAGCCAUGCGAGUCGAGCGCCCCCGGGCUAUGGCGGGGGAGCGGCGCACGGCUCAGUAAAACAUGGCUAACCUACCCUCAGGACGGGGAUAACUCCGGGAAACUGGAGCUAAUCCCCGAUAGGUGAGGAUGCCUGGAAUUGGUGCCUCACCGAAAGGGGCCUGAAACCAUGCCUUUCAGGCUCCGCCUGAGGAUGGGGCCAUGUCCGAUCAGGUUGUUGGCGGGGUAACGGCCCGCCAAGCCUAUAACCGGUACGGGCCGUGAGAGCGGGAGCCCGGAGAUGGGCCCUGGGACAAGAGCCCAGGCCCAACGGGGCGCAGCAGGGGCGAAACCUUCACAAU